rnacentral:rRNA from 1 species
UACGUAGGGUGCAAGCGUUAAUCGGAAUUACUGGGCGUAAAGCAUGCGCAGGCGGUUAUGUAAGACAGAUGUGAAAUCCCCGGGCUCAACCUGGGAACUGCAUUUGUGACUGCAUAGCUAGAGUACGGUAGAGGGGGAUGGAAUUCCGCGUGUAGCAGUGAAAUGCGUAGAUAUGCGGAGGAACACCGAUGGCGAAGGCAAUCCCCUGGACCUGUACUGACGCUCAUGCACGAAAGCGUGGGGAGCAAACAGG